rnacentral:rRNA from 1 species
AUCUACCCUUUAGAUCCGUGGUUAUUUUUGCUUAGAAUAAUUAAUAUUUUUAUAAUAGGUUCAAUGAUAGUAAAACUUAAUCUUUUCUAUUCUAAUUAAAGAAUCCACGAAACCCUUUUGUAAGACCAGGAUUAGAUACCCUGUUAUUAUAGGGCGUAAAUUGAAAGAUCUGGGCAUUACGAAACAUUUUUUUAAAACCCAAAGAGUUUGGCGGUCCUUAAAAAAAUCAGGGGGGCUUGGCGGUUAAUUUGAUAAUCCACAAUAAUCUUUACCUUCUCUUGAAAUUAUAAUAAUUUGUAUAUUCCCGUACAAGUUAACCCUAAAAGGAGUAAAAGUUAGCGUAAAAGAUUUUAUCUUUGAGGUCAGGCCUAAAUGCAAUUUAUGAGAAGGGCUUAGCUGAGUUACUAUAUAUUUUUAUUUUGAAUAUUUAUUUACAGAAAGUUAUAAAUGAAUAUAGUACUUGAUAGUAAAAUUUUUUUAAAAUGGAAAUUUGAAAUUUAAUUUAAGGGCGUACAAAUCGCCCGUCAAUCUUUCUGUUAAGAAAGAUAA